UACGAAGGGGGCUAGCGUUGUUCGGAAUACUGGGCGUAAAGCGUGCGCAGGCGGCUGCUCAAGUCAGGGGUGAAAGCCCAGAGCUCAACUCCAGAACUGCCUUUGAUACUGAGGAUCUUGAGUUCGGGAGAGGUGAGUGGAACUGCGAGUGUAGAGGUGAAAUUCGUAGAUAUUCGCAAGAACACCAGUGGCGAAGGCGGCUCACUGGCCCGAUACUGACGCUGGAGGCACGAAAGCGUGGGAGCAAACAGG
rnacentral:rRNA from 1 species